rnacentral:rRNA from 1 species
AUACGUAGGGUGCAAGCGUUAAUCGGAAUUACUGGGCGUAAAGCGUGCGCAGGCGGUUUUGUAAGACAGAGGGGAAAUCCCCGGGCUCAACCUGGGAACCGCCUUUGUGACUGCAAGGCUAGAGUACGGCAGAGGGGGAUGGAAUUCCGCGUGGUGCAGUGAAAUGCGUAGAUAUGCGGAGGAACACCGAUGGCGAAGGCAAUCCCCUGGGCCUGUACUGACGCUCAUGCACGAAAGCGUGGGGAGCAAACAGGAUUAGAUACCCUGGUAGUCCACGCCCUAAACGAUGUCAACUGGUUGUUGGGUCUUCAUUGACUCAGUAACGAAGCUAACGCGUGAAGUUGACCGCCUGGGGAGUACGGCCGCAAGGUUGAAACUCAAAUGAAUUGACGGGG